GGAAGCAUCUGGGAAAUGUGCACAGGGGCCCUGAGAGGCUGGAGACGUGACAAGUUGUGCCGCAGGAAGGAAGAGAACGUCUGGACAAGACAUGCUCUGAGUGGCUCGCAUCAGAUAAUUCUGCGGUUGAAGGUUGGAAAAUGGGCACAGAGAGAGAAGUUGAGAGGGAUAUCAUGGGUGGUUGGAAUUUCGUUUUGUUAGAACAUAACGUUCAGCUUGGGAAGACACUGAGUUCCAGGUAACUGUGGAGCAUCCUAGGAAGGCAAAUGCGAGUCAGACUCUCCGGGUUCCUUAUAAGAAAAAUCUUCCUGGGACUUCCCUGGUGGCGCAGUGGUUGGGAGUCCGCCUGCCAAUGCAGGGGACACGGUUCAAUCCCUGGUCCGGGGAAGAUCCCACAUGCCGCAGAGCAACUAAGCCCGUGCGCCACAACUACUGAGCCUGCUGCGCUCUAGAGCCCCUGAGCCACAACUACUGAGCCCGUGAGGCACAACUACUGAGCCCGUGCGCCACAACUACUGAGGCUGCUGCGCUCUAGAGCCCGUGAGCCACAACUACUGAAGCCCGCGUGCCUAGAGCCUGUGCUCCGCAACAAGAGAAGCCACCGCAAUGAGAAGCCCGCGCACCACAACGAAGAGUAGCCCCUGCUCGCCCCAACUAGAGGAAGCCUGCACACGGCAACGAAGACCCAAUGCAGCCAAAAAUAAAUAAAUUUAUUUUAAAAAAAAAAAAGAAAAAAA